GGGCCCUUAUGGGGUCAUAUGGGGUCGUUGUGGGUCAUAUGGGGUCGUUAUGGGGUCGUUAUGGGGUAGUUAUGGGGUGUGGGAUUGUGGGGAUAUGGGAUAUGGAGGUCCCACAGCCCUGCUACGUCCUGAUCGACCUGUAUGGGCAGUGCCAGCAGGUGGGCGUUAUAGGGUCGUGUAGAGCCCUUAUGGGGUCAUAUGGGGUCGUUGUGGGGUCAUAUGGGGUCGUUAUGGGGUGUGGGAUUGUGGGGAUAUGGGAUAUGGAGGUCCCACAGUCCUGGUCGACCUGUAUGGGUAGUGCCAGCAGGUGGGCGUUAUAGGG
ensembl:lncRNA